rnacentral:rRNA from 1 species
UACGUAGGGGGCAAGCGUUGUCCGGAUUCAUUGGGCGUAAAGAGCGUGUAGGCGGCCAGGUAGGUCGGUUGUGAAAACUGGAGGCUCAACCUUCAGACGUCGACCGAAACCAUCUGGCUAGAGUCCGGGAGAGGGGAGUGGAAUUCCUGGUGUAGCGGUGAAAUGCGCAGAUAUCAGGAAGAACACCCGUGGCGAAAGCGGCUCUCUGGAACGGUACUGACGCUGAGACGCGAAAGCGUGGGGAGCGAACAGG